GUAGCCAUAUGCUUGUCUCAAAGAUUAAGCCAUGCAUGUCUAAGUAUAAACCAAUUUAUACGGUGAAACUGCUAAUGGCUCAUUAAAUCAGUUAUAGUUUAUUUGAUGGUAUCUUACUACAUGGAUAACUGUGGUAAUUCUAGAGCUAAUACAUGCAUCAAAGCCCCGACUCUUGGAAGGGGUGUAUUUAUUAGAUAAAAAACCAACGCGGUUCGCCGCUCCUUUGGUGAUUCAUAAUAACUUCUCGAAUCACAUGGCCUUGCCCCGGCGAUGCUUCAUUCUAAUAUCUGCCCUAUAAACCUUCGAUGGUAGGAUAGAGGCCUA
rnacentral:rRNA from 1 species